UGAGGAAUAUUGGUCAAUGGGCGAGAGCCUGAACCAGCCAAGUAGCGUGCAGGAUGACGGCCCUAUGGGUUGUAAACUGCUUUUAUGUGGGGAUAAAGUGCGUGACGUGUCAUGCAUUGCAGGUACCACAUGAAUAAGGACCGGCUAAUUCCGUGCCAGCAGCCGCGGUAAUACGGAAGGUCCGGGCGUUAUCCGGAUUUAUUGGGUUUAAAUGGAGCGUAGGCUGUCUAUUAAGCGUGUUGUGAAAUAUACCGGCUCAACCGGUGGCUUGCAGCGCGAACUGGUCGACUUGAGUAUGCAGGAAGUAGGCGGAAUUCAUGGUGUAGCGGUGAAAUGCUUAGAUAUCAUGACGAACUCCGAUUGCGCAGGCAGCUUACUGUAGCAUAACUGACGCUGAUGCUCGAAAGUGCGGGUAUCAAACAGG
rnacentral:rRNA from 1 species